rnacentral:misc_RNA from 1 species
ACUCUCAAAUGAAAAGUGUUCAAGUGCAUUCAAAGUGAAGCUGAAAAAAUAACCAGUUAAAAAUAGUACAAAGAAAUUUUCUUUCUUGCAAUUUGCAAGCAGUAGCUACAACCAAAAAUGGAAAAGUGUAAAAAUCGUGUCCCAGCAGACGAGCAGCAGCAGUACGAGUAUUGCAAAAUGCAGGGGCAAGGGCCCACGUAGUAUUUUUCCACGUCGGGCAUUUAAUGCUCUCGAGUUGGAAACAAAGAAACCAUACGCAAACCCCCUGGAAAAGAUGUGAUUAGUCAUCGAUUUUGCUGGUCAGCGUCGGGGAAUUUCGCAAUGCAGCAGGCAGUUUUCUCAAAUUUGGCUAGAAAGUGACCCACUAGGCAGUCUGAGGCAGUUAUCCAGGAUGUAAGGAUGUGUGCAGUACUCUCUGUGUCGAAUGGCGAUGGCCUGACCUGCGGAUUUUGAAAGAUUGAAAUAGGAAGCCAGGUAUACAUACACAGCAACGAAUGCAGCGUGUUCUAUAUUCUUAAUUCGUAAGCCAAACCUAUGUUUAAGACGUAGUUUAUAUAACCGUACAUAUGUAUGUAGCGAAACACGUUUUCAAACGUCGCAUCGAAGCCAUUUCUUCUGCAGCCAUUGCAAUUUCAUCGUGUUGCGUAAUCGCAAAUUGUAAAUGUGUCCCUACUACUUCACAUUUGUGUGUAUCCAAGUCGAAAGUUCUCGAACUAUUCUCGUGAGCAACCCCCGGAUCGAAAGGCCACCAACUGGCUCGUUCUCUCUCUCCAGAAACAGCUUACUCUUACGUUUACAAUUGACUCUCUACCUAUCGGGUAUACACAUUUUUAUAUAUGUAUACACUCAGAGACACCCCAAUCCCCCACCAUACAUAUGGCGAGAUGUGUGAAUGUAUCGCAGUUGGACGAAAACGGCAGCUGCGCAGAAAACGCUGCGGCGUACAUACAAACGAGCUCUUUGUUUGCCUUUCCCCAGUUUUGCUUCCCCAUACGUAUAACUGGGUGUUUAUCAGCGGUAAUCUCGCCAGCCUGACUUUGUCCCUGUCGCUUCUAUUGACAUUCUAAACUAGAUUGUAGACGUUUUAACAUUUACCUAGCUGUUAAUCUUAUUUGUAAACAUCUCUAUAUGCAACCUGCCAUACCACUUAACCAAGCAAUAUGUAUUUCUUUCUCUAAACUUUAUAGUUGGGCGUUGAAAGUUGAUAUCGAUAUCGAUCCGUGAAAAGUCGAUACCCUGCGCAAGCAUGGGGCGGCAUAUGGGUGCUGAAAACGCACUCGGCCCGAUCCCGAUUGCAGCGUUAUUCGAAAGCUGUGUCUGCGACCGUGACUGAGAUCAUAUGCGUACAUAUAUCUAAUGUCCGGGGUCGUGGGCCAGCCAGGGUGCUCGAUUCUGUCAGAUUGAUUGUGCGGAUUGUGUUAUAGGAACACUGGUGUAUCGACUUCUCUGCUCCACUAUGGGUGAAGGAUACCCUACCGAAAAGGCCUUCUGUCGCUUACUAUCAUCGAACAAGUUCCGUAAAGGGCAGACAUACGUACACGUGGCAGCAUAUUACGUUCAAUGACACAUCGUCUCUGGAUUAGUAGUUGAACCAACGAGCUCGAAUAUACCCUGCCAGUUGGUUGUAAAUAUUAAUUUUGUUCUUAUAUUCAGUUGUAAAGUCAAUACGGAAGACAUUUCCACACCAACCAUGUGUCACUUAUGUUCUUAAAUACCAGAAACUGUUUAAAUUUUUGUUCUUAUACACUUCACCAAUUAAGAAUUACCUGUACUGAUGUAAGUGUACCUGUUGAAUCACAACAAAAAUAGAAAAAAUGAAUAACAAAAGAGCUCUAUAACAGAAAAGCCACAGAAAAAGUGAAUAAAAAAUUCAAAAAUUCAAAAAAUAAAUUUCGAAACAUUU